GAUGAACGCUAGCUACAGGCUUAACACAUGCAAGUCGCGGGGCAGCAUGGGGGUUGCUUGCAAUCCCCGAUGGCGACCGGCGCACGGGUGAGUAACGCGUAUCCAACCUGCCCUUCACCACGGGAUAACCCGGCGAAAGUCGGACUAAUACCGUAUGUUGUCCAUUGACGGCAUCCGAUUUGGACGAAAGGUUUGGCGGUGAAGGAUGGGGAUGCGUCCGAUUAGCUGGACGGCGGGGUGACGGCCCACCGUGGCGACGAUCGGUAGGGGUUCUGAGAGGAAGGUCCCCCACACUGGAACUGAGGCACGGUCCAGACUCCUACGGGAGGCAGCAGUGAGGAAUAUUGGUCAAUGGGCGUAAGCCUGAACCAGCCAAGUAGCGUGCAGGAUGACGGCCCUAUGGGUUGUAAACUGCUUUUAUGCGGGGAUAAAGUGGCCCACGUGUGGGUUUUUGCAGGUACCGCAUGAAUAAGGACCGGCUAAUUCCGUG
rnacentral:rRNA from 1 species